CGGACGGGUGAGUAACGCGUGGAUAACCUGCCGUAUACCGGGGGAUAACACUUAGAAAUAGGUGCUAAUACCGCAUAAGCGCACGGCUCCGGCAUGGGCAGUGUGAAAAACUCCGGUGGUAUACGAUGGAUCCGCGUCUGAUUAGCUAGUUGGCGGGGUAACGGCCCACCAAGGCAGCGAUCAGUAGCCGGCCUGAGAGGGUGGACGGCCACAUUGGGACUGAGACACGGCCCAAACUCCUACGGAAGGCAGCAG
rnacentral:rRNA from 1 species